AGAGCGAACGCUGGCGGCAGGCCUAAUACAUGCAAGUCGAACGAACCCUUCGGGGUUAGUGGCGGACGGGUGAGUAACACGUGGGAACGUGCCUUUUGGUUCGGAACAACUCAGGGAAACUUGAGCUAAUACCGAAUGUGCCCCCUCCUUUAACCAGGGGGGUGGGAAAGAUUUAUCGCCAUUAGAGCGGCCCGCGUCUGAUUAGCUAGUUGGUGGGGUAAAGGCCCACCAAGGCUACGAUCAGUAGCUGGUCUGAGAGGAUGAUCAGCCACACUGGGACUGAGACACGGCCCAGACUCCUACGGGAGGCAGCAGUAGGGAAUCUUGCGCAAUGGGCGAAAGCCUGACGCAGCCAUGCCGCGUGAAUGAUGAAGGUCUUAGGAUUGUAAAAUUCUUUCAGCGGGACGAUAAUGACGGUACCCGCAGAAGAACGCCCGGCUAACUUCGUGCCAGCAGCCGC
rnacentral:rRNA from 1 species